rnacentral:rRNA from 1 species
GAUGAACGCUGGCGGCGUGCUUAACACAUGCAAGUCGAACGAAGCACUUUAUUUGAUUUCCUUCGGGAUUGAUUAUUUUGUGACUGAGUGGCGGACGGGUGAGUAACGCGUGGGUAACCUGCCUUGUACAGGGGGAUAACAGUUGGAAACGGCUGCUAAUACCGCAUAAGCGCACAGCAUCGCAUGAUGCAGUGUGAAAAACUCCGGUGGUAUAAGAUGGACCCGCGUUGGAUUAGCUAGUUGGUGAGGUAACGGCCCACCAAGGCGACGAUCCAUAGCCGACCUGAGAGGGUGACCGGCCACAUUGGGACUGAGACACGGCCCAAACUCCUACGGGAGGCAGCAGUGGGGAAUAUUGCACAAUGGGCGAAAGCCUGAUGCAGCGACGCCGCGUGAGCGAAGAAGUAUUUCGGUAUGUAAAGCUCUAUCAGCAGGGAAGAUAAUGA